rnacentral:rRNA from 1 species
GAUGAACGCUGGCGGCGUGCCUAAUGCAUGCAAGUCGAGCGAACGGACGAGAAGCUUGCUUCUCUGAUGUUAGCGGCGGACGGGUGAGUAACACGUGGAUAACCUACCUAUAAGACUGGGAUAACUUCGGGAAACCGGAGCUAAUACCGGAUAAUAUUUUGAACCGCAUGGUUCAAAAGUGAAAGACGGUCUUGCUGUCACUUAUAGAUGGAUCCGCGCUGCAUUAGCUAGUUGGUAAGGUAACGGCUUACCAAGGCAACGAUGCAUAGCCGACCUGAGAGGGUGAUCGGCCACACUGGAACUGAGACACGGUCCAGACUCCUACGGGAGGCAGCAGUAGGGAAUCUUACGCAAUGGGCGAAAGCCUGACGGAGCAACGCCGCGUGAGUGAUGAAGGUCUUCGGAUCGUAAAACUCUGUUAUUAGGGAAGAACAUAUGUGUAAGUAACUGUGCACAUCUUGACGGUACCUAAUCAGAAAGCCACGGCUAACUACGUG